UGAUCCCUGACAAACCAUUUAAUCCCAGCGCUCUGGGAGGGAGGAAUCACCUCCCUGUGACACCCAAGGCUUUGGGUGCCAAGCUCUGUGGGGCACAGCUUGCACCUGGGCAUGAGGCACCCUGAGCAAACGCGGCCUUGGGAUUGCUGUGGAUCUGCUUAGGAGUGGGAGGCUAGUGGGAAUGGGGAGCUGGUGCUGGAGCAGCCACACCAGCCGUGGCCAUGGCAGACCCAGAGCAGAGCCCGUCCCAGGAGGACUCAGGUGCGGAAAGAAACAAAAAACAAGGGCAGGACUGCUGCUCCCUUCCUAUGAAACUCCCUGGAAGAGCAUCCCACACACUUGGACUCCUGAGCGACUCAACUCACCUACACAAAGAAAAAUGAGGUAGAGUUGAUGGGCUGCUGACAGGUGCUGCUGGAGGCUGAGAGAUGGAAAAUCAAGGAUGCCCUGACAUGGUCUGUCACUAGCUUGAAGAGAAAAAAGCAGGAAAAUAUUAUUACCUUGUCUCAAAGGCAGGAGAGUGGGAUGUGUCUUAAAGAUGGAAGACUGGGGUAUGUCCUUUGGGACAAGGAUGGUCUGCUUCCAUAACACAGGUCCCAGAAGAAGCAGGAUUGUAUUAGAAUGGUAAAAUAACAGAAAACAAAAGCUUUUCUUUCUCCCUAAAUAAAUAAUUUCUAU